AGAGUUUGAUCAUGGCUCAGAACGUACGCUGGCGGCACGCCUUAUACAUGCAAGUCGAACGAAGUAGCAAUACUUAGUGGCAGACGGGUGAGUAACAUGUAGGUAUCUUCCCUUUGGUGAGGAAUAACACGAGGAAACUUGUGCUAAUACCUCAUAAGUCUUUACGGAGAAAGCUUUAUGCGCCAUAGGAUGAGCCUGCAUUUGAUUAGUUUGUUGGUGGGGUAAUGGCCUACCAAGACUUUGAUCAAUAGCUGAUCUGAGAGGAUGAUCAGCCACAUUGGGACUGAGACACGGCCCAAACUCCUACGGGAGGCAGCAGUAGGGAAUAUUGCACAAUGGAGGAAACUCUGAUGCAGCGAUGCCGCGUGAGUGAAGAAGGCCUUUGGGUUGUAAAGCUCUUUCGUCGGGGAAGAAAAUGACUGUACCCGAAUAAGAAGGUCCGGCUAACUUCGUGCCAGCAGCCGCGGUAAUACGAAGGGACCUAGCGUAGUUCGGAAUUACUGGGCUUAAAGAGUUCGUAGGUGGUUAAAAAAGUUGGUGGUGAAAUCCCAGAGCUUAACUCUGGAACUGCCAUCAAAACUUUUUAGCUAGAGUAUGAUAGAGGAAAGCAGAAUUUCUAGUGUAGAGGUGAAAUUCGUAGAUAUUAGAAAGAAUACCGAUUGCGAAGGCAGCUUUCUGGAUCAUUACUGACACUGAGGAACGAAAGCAUGGGUAGCGAAGAGGAUUAGAUACCCUCGUAGUCCAUGCCGUAAACGAUGUGUGUUAGACGUUGGAAAUUUAUUUUCAGUGUCGCAGCGAAAGCAUUAAACACACCGCCUGGGGAGUACGACCGCAAGGUUAAAACUCAAAUGAAUUGACGGGGACCCGCACAAGUAGUGGAG
rnacentral:rRNA from 1 species